rnacentral:rRNA from 1 species
AUACGGAAGGUCCGGGCGUUAUCCGGAUUUAUUGGGUUUAAAGGGUGCGUAGGCGGUUUGCUAAGCGGGAGGUGAAAUGCCGGCGCUCAACGUCGGAAGUGCCUCCCGAACUGGUGGACUGGAAUGAUUCUGCCGUGGGAGGAAUGUGUAGUGUAGCGGUGAAAUGCUUAGAGAUUACACAGAACACCGAUUGCGAAGGCAUCUCACGAAGGGUUGAUUGACGCUGAGGCACGAAAGCGUGGGGAUCAAACAGGAUUAGAUACCCUGGUAGUCUACGCAGUAAACGAUGAUGGCUAACCGCUGGUUUAUUCGGAUCAGUGGCCAAGCGAAAGCGAUAAGCCAUCCACCUGGGGAGUACGACCGCAAGGUUGAAACUCAAAUGAAUUGACGGGG